UACGGAGGAUCCAAGCGUUAUCCGGAUUUAUUGGGUUUAAAGGGUGCGUAGGCGGAUUGAUAAGUUAGAGGUGAAAUGUCCGAGCUCAACUCGGGAGCUGCCUCUAAUACUGUUGAUCUAGGGAGUAGAUGCGGUAGGCGGAAUGUAUGGUGUAGCGGUGAAAUGCUUAGAGAUCAUACAGAACACCGAUUGCGAAGGCAGCUUACCAAUCUAUAUCUGACGUUGAGGCACGAAAGCGUGGGGAGCAAACAGG
rnacentral:rRNA from 1 species